CUUCUAUGUGACAGGAGUGCUUUCUUUUCCUGUGGGUAGUGUUUUAGCAACCCACAGAAUUUGUGAAACACAUCAAGAGCGUGGAAGAGAUACCAGGAGACAGGCCAGAUCUUUGGUGCAGUAGCAAGAGUGAGGAUUAUGUGGCUCCACUUCUCCGUUUCUGCCCUGAGGCCACCAUUGAAGACACAGGAAUUUUUUUGUUCGCUCACACCCACACUAUUCUUUAAGCCCUGCAGGUAAUCCUUUCCCUGUGGGCGGCACGUGGAACCGGCGGCAGAUAAUCCUGCCAACAGUUGCACAGCUGUCAUGUCGCAAACGACCUCGUAUGAUAACCAGGAGGCGGUGCAGACAGACAGAAAGGUGCGGCUAUUUUAUUAAAAAUAAAAAAAAACAAAAAAAGACGUAUGAGCCACUUUGUGACAGGAAGUCCAGAGGUCAGGUGACAUGUUCUUAACAUCCUGCUGUCAUUAAAUAUGCAUACAACUCCACCCUUUUACACUGCCUGACAAAAACGGCUUUUUAUUAUUUUUUUUAUUUAUUUUUUUUAAAUGGGAUGACCUGAAAAUUUGGUUCAAACUGAACUACACUGGUUGAUGGCCGAUGUUACCAUCUCUGUCAAUUCUUUUUCUCCACCAUGUCAAAAAAAAAUAUCUCUGAUGGUGGAAAA